AUUUCAAUGGAGCUGGCCAGCCGCACUGGGACUGAGACACUGCCCAGACUCCUACGGGAGGCUGCAGUCGAGGAUCAUUUGCAAUGGGCGAAAGCCUGACAAUGCGACGCUGCGUGGAGGAUGAAGGCCUUCGGGUUGUAAACUCCUGUCAUGGGGGAACAGGCGAGGGGACCCAACACGUCCCUUAGUUGAGUGCCCCCUUUGGCGCUCCGUCGAUGCCGACGGGCGCCGCAUUCGGUAUUAGCCGCCGUUUCCACGGCUAACUCUGUGCCAGCAGCCGCGGUAAUACAGAGGUCGCGAGCGUUGUUCGGAUUUACUGGGCGUAAAGGGCGCGUAGGCGGCCGCGCGUGUCAGAUGUGAAAUCUCCGGGCCCAACCCGGAAAGUGCGUCUGAGACUGCGCGGCUCGAGUGCGGAAGGGGGAAUCGGAAUGCAGGGUGUAGCGGUGAAAUGCGUUGAUAUCCUGCAGAACACCGGAGGCGAAGGCGGAUUCCUUGUACGCGACUGACGCUGAGGCGCGAAAGUCGGGGGAGCGAACAGGAUUAGAUACCCUGGUAGUCCCGACCUUAAACGGUGCACGCUCGGGGUGGGGGGACUUCAACCCCCCCGUCCCUCAGCUAACGCGUUAAGCGUGCCGCCUGGGGAGUACGGCCGCAAGGCUAAAACUCAAAGAAAUUGACGGGGGCCCGCACAAGCAGAGGAGCAUGUGGCUUAAUUCGAUGCAACGCGAAGAACCUUACCUGGGCUUGACAUGGAGCUGCGCGGUCCGUGAAAGCGGACCUCCUUCGAGGGGGCUCCACAGGUGCUGCAUGGCUGUCGUCAGUUCGUGCCGUGAGGUGUUUGGUUAAGUCCACCAACGAACGCAACCCCUUUGCGAUGUUGCCAGCGGGUGAAGCCGGGGACUCGUCGCAGACUGCCCGUUCACGCGGGAGGAAGGUGGGGAUGACGUCAAGUCAGUAUGGCCCUUACGCCCAGGGCCGCACACGUGCUACAAUGGCGCAUACAGAGCGACGCGAGGCCGCGAGGCGGAGCGAACCGCGCAGAGUGCGCCCCAGUUCGGAUCGGGGUCUGCAACCCGACCCCGUGAAGUCGGAUUUGCUAGUAACGGCGCAUCAGCUACGGCGCCGUGAAUGCGUUCCCGGGCCUUGUACACACCGCCCGUCACAUCAUGAAAGCCGUCUGCACCCGAAGUCCGGCACCCGUCGGCCUAAGGUGUGGGUGGUGAUUGGGAUGAAGUCGUAACAAGGUAACCGUUGG
rnacentral:rRNA from 1 species